rnacentral:rRNA from 1 species
UACGUAGGGGGCAAGCGUUGUCCGGAAUCAUUGGGCGUAAAGCGCGUGUAGGCGGCCCGGUAAGUCCGCUGUGAAAGUCGGGGGCUCAACCCUCGAAUGCCGGUGGAUACUGUCGGGCUAGAGUGCGGAAGAGGCGAGUGGAAUUCCUGGUGUAGCGGUGAAAUGCGCAGAUAUCAGGAGGAACACCAGCGGCGAAGGCGGCCCCCUGGUCGGAUACUGACGCUGAGACGCGAAAGCGUGGGGAGCAAACAGG